GUGAAUCAUCAAAUUUUUGAACGCAAAUUGCACUCUCCUCGGAGAGUAUGGGUGUUUGAGGGUCAGCCUAUAAAAAAUAGACAUCGUUGCUGUUUUGCGGUGGAGCGCGUUGGAAAGUGGGUCAUCUUAAAUCUUUUGGUUUUUAGUGUCUUAAAAUUUUUUUGUUGGUUAUAUGAAAGUUUGUAAGAGUUAUUUUUUGACAUGUUUAAGGUAUAGAUUUUUAUUAGACGUGACAUGCAU
rnacentral:misc_RNA from 1 species